AGCGAACGCUGGCGGCAGGCUUAACACAUGCAAGUCGAGCGGGCAUCCUUGUGGUGUCAGCGGCAGACGGGUGAGUAACGCGUGGGAACGUGCCCUUCGGUUCGGAAUAACUCAGGGAAACUUGAGCUAAUACCGGAUACGUGCGAGAGCAGAAAGGUUUAUCUGCCGAAGGAUCGGCCCGCGUCUGAUUAGCUAAUUGGUGAGGUUAUGGCUCACCAAGGCGACGAUCAGUAGCUGGUCUGAGAGGAUGAUCAGCCACACUGGGACUGAGACACGGCCCAGACUCCUACGGGAGGCAGCAGUGGGGAAUAUUGGACAAUGGGGGCAAUCCUGAUCCAGCCAUGCCGCGUGAGUGAUGACGGCCUUAGGGUUGUAAAGCUCUUUUCUUCGGGACGAUAAUGACGGUACCGGAGGAAUAAGCCCCGGCUAACUUCGUG
rnacentral:rRNA from 1 species